UACAGAGGGUGCAAGCGUUGUUCGGAUUUACUGGGCGUAAAGCGUACGCAGACGGCUUGGUAGGUCGGAUGUGAAAGCCCCGGGCUCAACCUGGGAACUGGCAUUUGUGACUGCAUGGCUGGAGUGCGGCAGAGGGGGAUGGAAUUCCGCGUGUAGCAGUGAAAUGCGUAGAUAUGCGGAGGAACACCGAUGGCGAAGGACAAUCCCCUGGGCCUGCACUGGACGCUGAGGCACGAAAGCGUGGGGAGCAAACAGGAUAGAA
rnacentral:rRNA from 1 species